GCACAAGUAGCUCAACGCAAGAGCGCCGGUCUUGUAAGCCGGAGGCCGGAGGUUGAAAUCCUCCCUUCUGCU
rnacentral:tRNA from 1 species